rnacentral:rRNA from 1 species
UUUAUGGAGAGUUUGAUCCUGGCUCAGGAUGAACGCUGGCGGCGUGCCUAAUACAUGCAAGUCGAGCGAACGGACGAGAAGCUUGCUUCUCUGAUGUUAGCGGCGGACGGGUGAGUAACACGUGGAUAACCUACCUAUAAGACUGGGAUAACUUCGGGAAACCGGAGCUAAUACCGGAUAAUAUUUUGAACCGCAUGGUUCAAAAGUGAAAGACGGUCUUGCUGUCACUUAUAGAUGGAUCCGCGCUGCAUUAGCUAGUUGGUAAGGUAACGGCUUACCAAGGCAACGAUGCAUAGCCGACCUGAGAGGGUGAUCGGCCACACUGGAACUGAGACACGGUCCAGACUCCUACGGGAGCAGCAGGGAAUCUUCCGCAAUGGGCGAAAGCCUGACGGAGCAACGCCGCGUGAGUGAUGAAGGUCUUCGGAUCGUAAAACUCUGUUAUUAGGGAAGAACAUAUGUGUAAGUAACUGUGCACAUCUUGACGGUACCUAAUCAGAAAGCCACGGCUAACUACGUGCCAGCAGCCGCGGUAAUACGUAGGUGGCAAGCGUUAUCCGGAAUUAUUGGGCGUAAAGCGCGCGUAGGCGGUUUUAAGUCUGAUGUGAAAGCCCACGGCUCAACCGUGGAGGGUCAUUGGAAACUGGAAAACUUGAGUGCAGAAGAGGAAAGUGGAAUUCCAUGUGUAGCGGUGAAAUGCGCAGAGAUAUGGAGGAACACCAGUGGCGAAGGCGACUUUCUGGUCUGUAACUGACGCUGAUGUGCGAAAGCGUGGGGAUCAAACAGGAUUAGAUACCCUGGUAGUCCACGCCGUAAACGAUGAGUGCUAAGUGUUAGGGGUUUCCGCCCCUUAGUGCUGCAGCUAACGCAUUAAGCACUCCGCCUGGGGAGUACGACCGCAAGGUUGAAACUCAAAGGAAUUGACGGGGACCCGCACAAGCGGUGGAGCAUGUGGUUUAAUUCGAAGCAACGCGAAGAACCUUACCAAAUCUUGACAUCCUUUGACAACUCUAGAGAUAGAGCCUUCGGGGACAAAGUGACAGGUGGUGCAUGGUUGUCGUCAGCUCGUGUCGUGAGAUGUUGGGUUAAGUCCCGCAACGAGCGCAACCCUUAAGCUUAGUUGCCAUCAUUAAGUUGGGCACUCUAAGUUGACUGCCGGUGACAAACCGGAGGAAGGUGGGGAUGACGUCAAAUCAUCAUGCCCCUUAUGAUUUGGGCUACACACGUGCUACAAUGGACAAUACAAAGGGCAGCGAAACCGCGAGGUCAAGCAAAUCCCAUAAAGUUGUUCUCAGUUCGGAUUGUAGUCUGCAACUCGACUACAUGAAGCUGGAAUCGCUAGUAAUCGUAGAUCAGCAUGCUACGGUGAAUACGUUCCCGGGUCUUGUACACACCGCCCGUCACACCACGAGAGUUUGUAACACCCGAAGCCGGUGGAGUAACCUUUUAGGAGCUAGCCGUCGAAGGUGGGACAAAUGAUUGGGGUGAAGUCGUAACAAGGUAGCCGUAUCGGAAGGUGCGGCUGGAUCACCUCCUUUCU